rfam:Ciona savignyi cont_36401, whole genome shotgun sequence.
GUCUCUGUGGCGCAAUUGGUUAGCGCGUUCGGCUGUUAACCGAAAGGUUGCUGGUUCAAGCCCAGCCAAGGACG